rnacentral:rRNA from 1 species
AAAACUUUUAACAACGGAUCUCUUAGUUCUAGCAUCGAUAAAGAACGCAGUGAAAUGCGAUAAGUAAUAUAAAUUACAGAAUUUAGUAAACCAUCGAAUCUUUAAACGUAUAUUACGCCCGCUAGCACUCUAGCGGGCAUGCCUGUCCGAGCGUU